GACGAACGCUGGCGGCAUGCCUAACACAUGCAAGUCGAACGAUGCCUUCGGGUCUAUGGGCGCAGGGGUGGGUAACGCGUGGGAACCUGCCCGUAGGUUCGGAAUAACUCCCCGAAGGAUAUGCUAAGACCGGGUAAGGUCUUCGGACCAAAGAUUUAUCGCCUUUGUAUGGGCCGGCGUUGGAUGAGCUAGUUGGUAGGGUAAAAGCCUACCAAGGCGACGAUCCAUAGCUGGUCUGAGAGGAUGAUCAGCACGACUGGGACUGAUACACGGCCCAGACUCGUACGGGAGGCAGCAGUGGGGACUAUUGGACAACGGGCGAACGGCUGAUCCAGCAAUGCCGUGUGAGUGAUGAAGGCCUUAGGGUUGUAAAGAUCUCUUACCAGUGAUGAUAAUGAGAGUACCGGGAGAAUAAGCUCCGGCUAACUACGUG
rnacentral:rRNA from 1 species